rnacentral:piRNA from 1 species
UGAACCUGUCUAACGUAACUAGUAUCGGC